rnacentral:rRNA from 1 species
GACGAACGCUGGCGGCGUGCUUAACACAUGCAAGUCGAACGGAAAGGCCCUGCUGUUGUUGGGUGAUCGGGUGACGGACGGGUGAGUAACACGUAAGUAACCUGCCCUUGACUUUGGGAUACCUUCAGGAGACGGGGGUUAAUACCAGAUAGGAGCUCCUGCUGCAUGGGGGGGGUUGGCAUGUUUCGGCGGUUGGGGAUGGACUCGCGGUUUAUCAGCUUGUUGGUGGGGUAGUGUCUUACCAAGGCUUUGGGGGGUAGCCGGCCGGAGAGGGUGCCCGGCCACAUGGGGCCGGGGAUACGGCCCAGCGUCCUAGGGGGGCCAGCCGUGGGGAAUAUGGCACAAUGGGCGGAGCCCGGAUGCAGCAACGCCGCGUGCGGGUUGACGCCCUUCGGUUGGUAACCCGCUUUCGCCUGGGACGAAGCGUUAGUGACGGUAAUUGGUGAAGAAGCACCGGCUAACUACGUG